rnacentral:lncRNA from 1 species
GCGCCCCCGGGGCCGGGCCUCGGGGCGGGGGGUGCUGGGGCCAAGGCGCCGCACGGGCGCCCAACCUCGGGGUGCCGCCUCCACAGGCUGUGGCUGGGGCUGGGGCGCGGGAGGCCCGCGGGGCUUCGGAGAGGGAAACUUAGAGAAAAGUCUUCCACUUGGCUUGGGGCCGCAGGGGAAGGAAGACGCCCUCCGCCUGUGCCGGCGCCGACCGCGGGCCGGCAGGUGGGGAGGCCCAGAGCUGGCGGGGAGUUCGUCCCACUCGGAGCCACAGCCUUGCCCGAGGGAGCCUCGAAAUCGUUCAAGGGCAACCUCAGACCAGAGCCAGGGCGCCUCCUCCACAUUCCUGACAGAUGUGCACGCCGCCUCCUCUUGGAUGCUUCCCGUGACAAGGAGCUCACUCCUCAACAAGGCGGACUGCUCGUCCAUCAAGCCUGGCAUCUAAUUCACCUGUGCCGGGUACCGCAGAUGGAGAACGCCAGACAGCUGACACAAAUGCAAGACCCACAGCAACCCCAGAGGCUGAAUUAUUUCCUCCUGGAUGGGAAUGAGUCAUCUCCUCCGCCGUCUCCCUCAACAGGGCUGUAACAUGUUUCCAAGGGUUUCAAAGCCCUGUUUGAAAACAUGGGCUUUGCGGACAGACCCAUGUUCAACUUCAACCCCAGCGGCUUCUGGGUGGGUGGCCUUGAGCAAGUCUCUUCCCAAAGGCUCAUCUUGCUCAUCUAUAAACACAGUCCUAGACCUCUUUCCCUCCUCUACUGAGAGAUCAUCCUGCAACUCCCAAGAGUACAUGUCUCUAUUGCAGCUAUACUGAAACUGAUCAGCACCUCACAGUCCCAGUUCCCGCUUCUCAGGAGGAGUAAUCUCAUGGACCCAUCUUGGCUGUGAGGGGUGGGCAAACUCAGAGAGAGGGUACUAAGUUGCUGAGAAGACAAACAGCUUUCCAAGCAGCCCCCAAACUGUAUUAUUGGGGAAGCUUCUUAUCUGGUGGAAGCUACUUCAGGGAACACACAAAUGAUAAGAAAGAAAAACAGUCUUAUUGCUAAGUUGGAAAAAGUUUGAGUGGUCUGGAUAGAAGAACAAACCAGCCAUAACAGUCCCUUCAGCCAAAGCCUAGUCAGAGCAAGGUCUUAACUCUCUUCUAUUCUCUGAAGCCUGAGAGAGGUGAGGAAGCUGCAGAAGAGAAGUUUGAUGCUAGCAGAGGUUAGUUCAUGAGGUUUAAGAAAAGAAGUCAUCCUAUAACAUAAAAGUACAAGGUGUGCAGAUCACCAAGGGGUAUUUAAAAAAAUAAAAAUAAAAAAUAAAGUACAAGGUGAAGGAGCACGUGCUGAUACAGAAGUUGCAGCAAGUUAUCCAGAAGAUCUAGCUAAGAUCACUGAGGAAGGCGGCUACACUAAACAACAGAUUUUCAGUGGAGACACAACAGCUUUCUAGUGGAAGAAAAUGCUACCUACGGCUUUCACAGCUGGAGAGGAGGAGUCAAUACCUGGUUUCUAAGCUUCAGAGGACAGGCUGAACUCUCUUGUUAAGGGCUAAUGCAACUGGUGACUUUAAGUUGAAGCCAAUGCUCAUUUACCAUUUUGAAAAUCCUCAGGCUCUUAAGAAUCAUGCUAAAUCAACUCUUCCUAUAAAUGAAAUAACAUUUCACUAUUUCUAUAAAUGAAAUAACAUUUCACUAUUUCUAUAAAUGAAAUAACAUUUCAUUAUUUCUAUAAAUGAAAUAACAAGGCUUGAAUGACAGCACAUCUGUUUACUGGUUUACAGUAAAGAGCACAUCUGGUUUACUGAAAAUUUAAACCCACUGUUGAGACCUACUGCAGAGAAAAAAUGAUUCUUCUCAAAAUAUGACUGCUCAAUGACAAUGCACCUGAUCACCUAUGAGCUCUGAUGAAGAUGUACAAGGAGAUUAACAUUGUUUUCAUGCCUGCUAACACCAACAUUCAUUCUG